rnacentral:tRNA from 1 species
GCCAAAGUGGCGGAAUUGGUAGACGCAGCGGAUUCAAAAUCCGCCGCUAGCGAUAGUGUGUGGGUUCGAGUCCCACCUUUGGCACCA